rnacentral:rRNA from 1 species
UACGUAGGGUGCAAGCGUUGUCCGGAAUUAUUGGGCGUAAAGAGCUCGUAGGCGGUCUGUCACGUCGGCUGUGAAAACCCGAGGCUCAACCUCGGGCCUGCGAGCGAUACGGGCAGACUAGAGUUCGGUAGGGGAGACUGGAAUUCCUGGUGUAGCGGUGAAAUGCGUAGAUAUCAGGAGGAAUACCGAUGGCGAAGGCAGGUCUCUGGGCUGACACUGACGCUCAUGCACCGAAAGCGUGGGGAGCAAACAGG